GAAAUGCGAUAAGUAGUGUGAAUUGCAGAAUUCAGUGAAUCAUCGAAUCUUUGAACGCACAUUGCGCCCCUUGGUAUUCCAUGGGGCAUGCCUGUUCGAGCGUCAUUUGUACCCUCAAGCUUUGCUUGGUGUUGGGUGUUUGUCCACUGCCCUUGUGCAGGACGGACUCGCCUUAAAACAAUUGGCAGCCGGCAGAUUGGCCUGGAGCGCAGCACAUUUUGCGCCCCUGGUCGACACUGUUGGCAUCCAUCAAGACCUUCUUUUAGCUCUUGACCUCGGAUCAGGUAGGGAUACCCGCUGAACUUAA
rnacentral:misc_RNA from 1 species